rnacentral:rRNA from 1 species
AGAGUUUGAUCAUGGCUCAGGAUGAAUGCUGGCGGCGUGCCUAAUACAUGCAAGUCGAGCGGUAAGGCCCUUCGGGGUACACGAGCGGCGGACGGCUGAGUAACGCGUGGGAACAUGCCCCAAAGUGAGGGAUAACGCACCGAAAGGUGUGCUAAUACCGCAUAUGGUCUUCGGAUUAAAGGAUUUUAUCCGCUUUGGGAGUGGCCCGCGUACGAUUAGAUUGUUGGUGAGGUAACGGCUCACCAAGUCGACGAUCGUUAACUGGUCUGAGAGGAUGAUCAGUCAGACUGGAACUGAGACACGGUCCAGACUCCUACGGGAGGCAGCAGUAAGGAAUCUUCCACAAUGGGCGAAAGCCUGAUGGAGCAACGCCGCGUGCAGGAUGAAGGCCCUCGGGUCGUAAAACUGCUUUUAUGAGUGAAGAAUAUGACGGUAACUCAUGAAUAAGCACCGGCUAACUACGUG